GAAGUUUGCUGCUGCGCUUUGCCUCCUUCCCCGCUAGUUACUGUUGCCGUGUCUCUGCCGCUGCCAGGGCCAGGACAAAGGCACAUUAACACGUGAUGGGGACGGAGCUUCAUAAAUGGGACCCGAGAGAAAGAGGGGGGUGCGAGGAGCCAGGCUGGGAGGCGAGGCGCGGACACACACACUCAGCCGGGGCCGGGCGCGCAGCAGCUGCAGCAGCAGAGGAGGAGUGGGGGCGGCUUCCUCCCAGCCAGGGGCAGGAGCAGCGCAUGGAGAGCAGCGCCCGGCAAGCUGCCUGAGCCUGCCUGCUGUCCUUCCCCAGCUCCUAGCACCGCCUCCUCUCCUCUCCUCGCCUCUCUCCGGCGCCCCAGGCCCGGGCGGGGCGGGGCGGCCCGCGUGCUCCCCGCUGGGGGGUGGCUGUAGUAAGCGUGGGAACGCGUCUCAGUCCCGCGGAGGAGCCGCCGCGCCACUUGGCAAGACCACGAGGCAGGCGAGAAGGAGCAGCGCCCCGGAGCAGGAGCCGAGCCGGGGCGAUGUGAAGGGGCUUGGAAACCUAGUUCUGGUCUAGGCAGCUGUACUGUUCACCACCAUUUAUAAUAAGGUAAUUAUUAAACUAAAUGUUAAUUGUAUAAGCCUGUUCUAAUUCAUUUAGGCUAUCAUAUACUAUAGUAGAACUUAUUUAUCUAACAUUUUUUGACUACCUAGUCAUGAUGGUAAAUUAUUAUUGUUGUUGUUAUUACUAUUAUUUCUACUGGGUUGGGUCCAUGGGACCAGUCAAGGUUGUAGUCCCAUUCUGCUUGGCAUUGUACAAACACAUAGGAUACAAUUUCUAACCCAAAGAGCUUAUAACCUAAAAUGUGAGCAACAUAUGAAGACUCGGGGAGAGGAUUACGAUCCAAAUAUAUGAUUUUAUAUACAUAUUUCAAUGCAUUUAAAAAAAUAUAUUUCAACUAUACAAGAUGCCCUUUGACCAAUUCUUAAUUAUCUGUAAAUCUCAUGGAAGAACUGUGUAAAAUGGAAAUCCAAAUAUUUUACAAAAUGGAAAUUAGUGAAUCAUGAUUAUUAUCAUUGUAUUAUUUUAGUAUUGUUUGUUUUGACUUCUUGUUCUCAGCAUAUCUGCAGUUUUUAGCAGCACUGUCAUAUUACUUUUUUUAGGAAGAAUGUUACUAUUUAUUUUUAUUAGGUUAUUAAAAUUGCUCUGUCAAUCAUUUUGCCUUGAAGAAAAAUUCAGCUUUUGUAGAUGAUGGCAAUAAUUGUAAUAACCUGCCUACUGCAAAAAGAAUAGAGAAUUGUUAUUCAUAUUCUUGUAGUAUUCUUGUGCCCUGAGUAAAUGAGCUUUGCAUGGGGAACCUACGCAAGGUUUAGGAGAGAGUUGAUCCUCCUGUAAUCCAACCAUGAAUUUACACAGCCUUUCCAUGAUCACUACUGCAUACAGCUUCUGGGUUCUAGUAACAUCUAUGUAACCCUUAAGAGGCUUUACAUGACUAUGCAAUGGGGAGCA
rnacentral:lncRNA from 1 species